rnacentral:tRNA from 1 species
CAAAAAAGCAUACUUUCUUAUUGUGAAUUCCCAAGAAUCUGAUAGACAGGCAGGUUUCUCUGGGUGUGACAUGACAUAAGGAUGAAGGAGUGUUUCUGCAAACUGUCCUAAUACUGUUUUUAUGGCAUCAAAGAGUCAAGAUAAUCCUCCCCAGCAUUUACAUGCACACACACACAGACACAGACAGGCAGACACACACACAUGAAUACACAUCAAUUUUGUGUGUAACGCUUCUCUAGUCUUUCCUUCAGUGAAACCUAUUACUCAGUGUUUCCUAUUUUUAUUCUAGAAAUCCCAUCAGCCAUCUGAAAAGUCUGGCAUACAACUUGCAAUCUGCCAUUUUUAAAAUGGAUCAAUGUUAUUUUAUUAAUAUUGGCAAAGGCUCAUAUGUGGGCAAACCAGAAUGAGAAAGAGUUAACAGUCACUAGAAAUUUGGUUCCGGGAAAUGGGUUUUCUUCUCAUCUUCUUAUAUAGUUCAAAGAACCCAGUCUCAACGUGAUAAGUCCCAAGAUUUGAGAACUAUUUAGGAGCAAACUUGUUUGAUGCCCACAAAUAUCACGAAUAGGUUUGUAAUUCCCAUAUCUCAAAGUAUACUUUUUAGUCUUUAUCCACCUCCGUGUAAUGUGUCUCCUACUACUAAUGCUUACAAAUCCCAGGCUGGAGACGGAGUUAAUUGCCUGAGUUCUCCGUGUAAUAUCUUCACAACCGUGCCCCGGAGAUAUUUUAAAUUUAGUGUGAGCCAAACUAACUCAUCUCCAUCUUUCAAUCUUUCUCCCAUUCCUAAAAGAGUUGUUAAAACCUGCCCUUUUCUGUACCUGCUUGUCUUUGGCAAUAGCAUGUUUGUUUUUCUGAACUACUCUUCAAUCCUGUUUCUAUUUAUCUUUCGUCUUACUCUCAUAAUUCAACCCUCCUCUCCACCCCCAAAGCUGUUUUUCAUUUAUGCCUUAUGAAUUCCCUCCCAUCUCCUUUUCUCUCUCUCUCCCCUUUCCUUCCUUCCCUCCUUCCUUCCCUCCCUCCCUCUCUCUUUCUUCUUCCUUCCUUCCUUCCCUCUUUCCCUUCCUCCCUCCCUCACUCCCUUACUCCCACUUUGUCUUGCUUGCUUGCUUGCUUUUCUCACUACGUUUCCCAGGCUCGAGGGCAGUGGCACAAUCAUAGCUCCCUACAACCACCAACUCCCGAGCUCAAGCGAUCCUCGUGCCUCAGCCUCUGGAAUAGCUGUGAGUACAGGCGUUAAGACACCACGCCAGCUAGGGACCCAUAUGAAAAAAUGCUGAGUGCACUGCUCUCAGGUUUUAUUCUGAUUAUGGCUUUCCUCCACCAAAUCUUACCCUUGAUAUUCCUAUUGAGUAAACAACAAAUAUGAAGCAUUUUAGUCAGGGAAAGGCUGAAUUUCAAUGGCUUUGUGUCAUAUCUGGAAGAAAUCAAAAGAAACGAAAACCAGAACUUGAUUCUUGCCAAGCAUAAUAGAAGGAGACCCUAAGAACUCAACGUCUUGAAGCCAUAAUGGAAACUUCUUGUGGUUAUUAUCUGACACUUUUCUAAUCUUUUUUCAUUUCAAAUCCUACACAGUAUUCUAAAGAAUCUGUAUCCCCCAUUAGUACCAAAUAUCUCCUGCUCAGAGUAGCUCUCCAUGCUCUAUAGUUCUGACCACUACUACCCGCAUGCUCACGGAGAGUCUCAGGAAAUGAAAGUUACCUCCUGAAAAUUAUUACAAAGAGGCCUUUUAGGAAGGGGGUGUAGCUCAGUGGUAGAGCGGAUGCUUUGCAUGUAUGAGACUUUGGGUUGGAUCCCCAGCACCUCCAAGUGAUGGUUUUACUCUGGCAGUUCUCUGCCUCCUCACAUUUUUCUAUCCUAUUUCUGCACAUAUAGAGAGUAAAAAAUGUACUCCAAUGCAUUGCCUUGAACUAUCCCCAACCUCUAUGCUGUGAGCCUCAACAUCACGUAAGGCGAUUGCGACAGCAGAAGGAAGACAAAAAAGUAACGAGGGGGAAAGAAGAACGGGAUCACAACAGGGGUCUCUUGACCCCAAACAAAUGCAUGCACAGGCGGUUCGCGUUCGCUCCCUUUUAUUUUUUGAGAUGGAGUUUUGCUCUCGUUGCCCAGGCUAGAGUGCAGUGGCGCAAUCUCGGCUCACUGCAACCUCUGCCUUCCGUUUUUAAGCGAUUCUCCUGCCUCAGCCUGCCAAGUAGCUGGGAUUACAGGCGUCCACCACCACGCCCAGCUAAUUUUUUUGUAUUUUUAGUAGAGACGGGGUUUCACCAUGUUGGUCAGGCUGAUCUCAAACUGCUGACCUCGUGAUCCACCCGCCUCUGCCUCCCAAAGUGCUGGGAUUGCAGGCAUGAACCACCGCGCCCGGCCCUCCAUUUUGUACAAUGAUUAAAGAGGCGCAAAGACGAAGAAGGGAGAAAAAUGCCCGUGGGCAUCUUUUUUUCUUUUUAGUUAUCUUUGUUUUCUAGGCAAAAGAGCAGAGUGAAAGCAUCUGUCUGCUGAUUUCUCCACCAGUCUCUCCCUGUCGACCUGCACAGGGACACAAGUGCAAUCCAAUACUGAGACAAGGACUACUGUGGCUCUCUAGUCGCUUGAGAUGGGAGUGGCAGGGCGCUGGAUGGCCGAACGAAGACUGUCGGGGAAUAAGAGGCCUUCAACAUGCGAGAAGCAGAAACCAAUACGGAUCAACAUUCCCUACGGAUAUUCCAUAAGACUGAUUCAUAUUCAUAUUCCUGUAUUUCCUCAGUCCCUCCAAUAUUGCCUGGGAACUUCUGGUAACAGCAAACGGAGGCCCCAUAUGAAAAAAAACAGGAAAAGGUUUUGUCACAAUGGAAAAUACAUGCAGAGUAAAAGGGUAAGAUAUUUCUGAAGGAAAUCAGAAAAGCCCCAAAUCGAGACUUGAUUCUUAUUACUCAUAAGAGAAGACUGAAGCUUUAACAAUUAAUCUGCUUAGAACUGCAAUGUAAACUGCACGCAGCUAUUACCUGAUUUUUAUUUCCACUACUUUUCUUCCAUCACAAGCCCUAUGCAGAAAAAAAAGUGCCUCAGCAUCACUCAAAGCAAAUGAUACAGCAGGAGAGAGAAGGAGGAAGAGAAGAACCAGCUUUACAAGAUCUCUGGAUCAUGUUUCCAUGCCAACUGUAAAAUUCUUUGCCUUGCCCUAGAUCCAAAAGAUUUUCAUCCAUGUUUUUUUCCCAAAAGUUUUAUACUUUUACAUUUUAUGUUUACAUCCUUGAUCCAUUUUGAGUUCAUUUUUGUAUAAGGCAUAAUGUUGACAUUCUUUUAAUUUUUUUAUUAAAAAAAUUUUUUGUUGAUAGCUGGGUGUGGUGGCAGGUGCCUGUAAUCCCAGCUACUCAGGAGGCUGAGGCAGGAGAAUCACUUGAAACCGGGAGGUGGCAGAGAUUGCAGUGAGCUGAAAUCGUGCCAUUGCACUCCAGCCUGGGUGACAAAGCAAGACUCCGUCUCAAAAACAAAAAAACAAAAUUUUGAGACAGAGUCUUGUUCUGUAGUCCAGGCUGGAGUGCAGUGGGUAGUAUCACUGCGCACUGCAGUCUCAACAUCUAGGGACCCAGUGACCCUCCCACCUCAGCCUCCCUGAGUAUCUGGAACCACAGGCGCAAGACCACUGUGACCAGGUUUUUUUUUUUUUCUUUUUUUUUGGCAGAGUCAGGAUCACCCUUUGUUGCUCAGGCUGAUCUGCAACUCCUGGGCUCAAGCAAUUCUCCCGCCUCAGUCUUCCAAAGUGUUGUUGAGGCUACAGGCAUGAGCCAGGGGGCCCGGACUUGCUUACUGCCUUUCUUAUACAAUAAUACAAGCAUACAACAAUG